rnacentral:rRNA from 1 species
UACGUAGGGCGCAAGCGUUAUCCGGAAUUAUUGGGCGUAAAGAGCUCGUAGGCGGUUUGUCGCGUCUGCCGUGAAAGUCCGGGGCUCAACUCCGGAUCUGCGGUGGGUACGGGCAGACUAGAGUGAUGUAGGGGAGACUGGAAUUCCUGGUGUAGCGGUGAAAUGCGCAGAUAUCAGGAGGAACACCGAUGGCGAAGGCAGGUCUCUGGGCAUUAACUGACGCUGAGGAGCGAAAGCUAGGGGAGCAAACGGG